rnacentral:rRNA from 1 species
CACGUAGGCACCAAGCGUUGUCCGGAUUUAUUGGGCGUAAAGAGCUCGUAGGCGGUUCGGUAAGUCGGGUGUGAAAACUCUGGGCUCAACCCAGAGCCGCCGCCCGAUACUGCUGUGACUUGAGUUCGGUAGGGGAGCGGGGAAUUCCUGGUGUAGCGGUGGAAUGCGCAGAUAUCAGGAGGAACACCAAUGGCGAAGGCAGAUCUCUGGGCCGUAACUGACGCUGAGGAGCGAAAGCAUGGGGAGCGAACAGG